rnacentral:rRNA from 1 species
GACGAACGCUGGCGGCGCGCCUAACACAUGCAAGUCGAGCGAUGAAAUUUUAACCGAUCUCUUCGGAGAGAAGAUAAAAUGGAUUAGCGGCGGACGGGUGAGUAACACGUGAGAAACCUGCCUUUCACAAGGGGAUAGCCUCGGGAAACCGGGAUUAAUACCCUAUGACACAUUUCCUUCGCAUGGAAGAAAUGUUAAAACUCCGGUGGUGAAAGAUGGUCUCGCGCCUGAUUAGCUAGUUGGUGGGGUAACGGCCCACCAAGGCCAUGAUCAGUAACCGGGCAGAGAGGGUGAGCGGUCACAUUGGAACUGAGACACGGUCCAAACUCCUACGGGAGGCAGCAGUGGGGAAUAUUGCACAGUGGAGGAAACUCUGAUGCAGCGACGCCGCGUGAGCGAUGAAGGCUUUCGAGUAGUAAAGCUCUGUCCUAUGGGAAGAUAAUGACGGUACCAUAGGAGGAAGCCCCGGCUAACUACGUG